UACGUAGGGGGCGAGCGUUGUCCGAAGUUACUGGGCGUAAAGAGCGUGUAGGCGGCUUGGUAGGUCCGCUGUGAAAACUCGAGGCUCAACCUCGAGAUGUCGGCGGAAACCACUUGGCUAGAGUCCGGAAGAGGAGAGUGGAAUUCCCGGUGUAGCGGUGAAAUGCGCAGAUAUCGGGAAGAACACCUAUGGCGAAGGCAGCUCUCUGGGACGGUACUGACGCUGAGACGCGAAAGCGUGGGGAGCGAACAGG
rnacentral:rRNA from 1 species